rnacentral:ncRNA from 2 species
UUAAACAAAGGUGAUGGUGUUCCACCUAAUUGAACCGCUGCAAAGCUGAUGACGCCUGCCAAAUA